UACGUAGGGGGCGAGCGUUGUCCGGAAUUACUGGGCGUAAAGCGCCUGUAGGCGGGAAGUUGCGUCGGACGUGAAAGGCGGGGGCUUAACCCCCGAGCGGCGUUCGAAACGGACUUUCUUGAGGGUCGAAGAGGAGCGUGGAAUUCCCGGUGUAGCGGUGAAAUGCGUAGAGAUCGGGAGGAACACCCAUGGCGAAGGCAGCGCUCUGGUCGGCAUCUGACGCUGAGAGGCGAAAGCGUGGGGAGCGAACGGGAUUAGAUACCCCGGUAGUCCACGCCGUAAACGAUGGUCACUAGGUGUCAGCGGUAUCGACCCCGCUGGUGCCGCAGCUAACGCAGUAAGUGACCCGCCUGGGGAGUACGGCCGCAAGGUUGAA
rnacentral:rRNA from 1 species